AGCGCGGCCGGAGCGCGGCGGCGGCGGCAUGGCCGGGGUCCCGAUCUGCGCCCUCCUCCCGCUCCUCGUCGGCGUCUGCGGCGCCGUCACCGGCUCUCGGGUCUAUCCCGCCAACGAAGUUACCUUGCUGGAUUCCAGAUCAGUUCAGGGCGAACUGGGGUGGAUAGCAAGUCCCCUGGAAGGAGGGUGGGAGGAGGUGAGCAUCAUGGAUGAGAAGAACACUCCUAUCCGCACCUACCAAGUCUGCAACGUGAUGGAGCCCAGUCAGAAUAACUGGUUACGAACUGAUUGGAUUCCCCGAGAGGGGGCUCAGAGGGUUUAUAUCGAAAUCAAGUUCACGCUCAGAGACUGCAACAGCCUGCCAGGUGUCAUGGGAACUUGCAAGGAGACUUUCAACCUUUAUUACUAUGAAUCAAACAACGAUAAAGAGCGCUUUAUUCGCGAGAGCCAGUUUGCCAAGAUCGACACCAUUGCUGCCGAUGAGAGCUUCACCCAGGUGGACAUUGGUGACAGGAUCAUGAAGCUGAACACGGAGAUCAGGGAUGUGGGACCGCUCAGCAAGAAGGGGUUUUAUUUGGCUUUCCAGGACGUCGGUGCCUGCAUUGCUUUGGUCUCUGUCCGCGUGUUCUACAAGAAGUGCCCGCUGACGGUUCGGAACCUGGCGCAGUUUCCAGACACCAUUACUGGGGCUGACACCUCCUCUCUGGUGGAGGUUCGUGGCUCCUGUGUCAACAACUCGGAAGAGAAGGAUGUGCCAAAAAUGUACUGUGGGGCAGAUGGCGAAUGGCUGGUGCCCAUUGGCAACUGCUUGUGCAAUGCUGGCUAUGAGGAGCGCAACGGAGAAUGCCAAGCUUGCAAAAUCGGAUACUACAAGGCUCUCUCGACAGACGCUGCCUGUGCCAAGUGCCCUCCCCACAGCUACUCCAUCUGGGAAGGCUCCACGUCCUGCACCUGCGAUCGCGGCUUCUUCCGAGCCGAAAGCGACGCUGCCUCCAUGCCCUGCACCCGCCCUCCGUCUGCUCCCCAGCACCUGAUUUCCAAUGUCAACGAGACCUCAGUGAACCUGGAGUGGAGCCCCCCGCAGAACAAGGGUGGCCGGGAGGACAUCUCCUACAACGUGGUGUGCAAGCGCUGCGGGGCGGGCGAGCCGAGCCGCUGCCGCUCCUGUGGCAGUGGGGUGCACUUCAGCCCCCAGCAGAACGGCCUGAAAACCACCAAAGUCUCCAUCACCGACCUCCUGGCACACACCAACUACACCUUUGAAGUCUGGGCAGUGAAUGGAGUGUCCAAGCAAAACCCCAGCCAGGACCAGGCUGUGUCGGUCACUGUGACAACUAACCAAGCAGCUCCGUCCCCGAUUGCAUUGAUCCAGGCUAAGGAGAUAACAAGGCACAGUGUUGCCUUGGCUUGGCUGGAACCUGACAGGCCAAAUGGAGUCAUCCUGGAGUAUGAGGUCAAAUACUAUGAAAAGGACCAGAACGAGCGCAGCUAUCGCAUCGUGAAAACGGCCUCCAGGAACACCGACAUCAAAGGGCUCAACCCCCUGACCUCCUACGUGUUCCACGUCAGGGCCAGGACAGCAGCAGGCUAUGGAGACUUCAGUGGGCCCUUCGAGUUCACCACCAACACAGUUCCUUCCCCCAUCAUUGGCGAUGGUACCAAUCCCACAGUGCUUCUUGUUUCAGUGGCUGGCAGUGUUGUUCUAGUGGUCAUUCUCAUUGCAGCCUUUGUCAUCAGCAGGAGGCGCAGCAAGUACAGCAAGGCCAAGCAGGAGGCAGAUGAGGAGAAGCACCUGAACCAAGGUGUUAGAACAUAUGUGGAUCCUUUUACAUAUGAGGAUCCAAACCAAGCUGUGAGGGAAUUUGCCAAAGAAAUUGAUGCCUCCUGCAUAAAGAUUGAAAAAGUUAUUGGUGUGGGGGAGUUUGGUGAAGUGUGCAGUGGACGUCUCAAAGUGCCAGGAAAAAGAGAGAUCUGUGUUGCUAUCAAGACUCUAAAGGCUGGUUACACUGAUAAACAAAGGAGAGACUUUCUGAGUGAGGCCAGUAUCAUGGGACAAUUUGACCACCCCAAUAUCAUCCACUUGGAAGGUGUAGUCACUAAAUGUAAGCCAGUAAUGAUCAUAACUGAGUACAUGGAGAAUGGUUCCUUGGAUGCCUUCCUCAGGAAGAACGAUGGCAGGUUCACAGUCAUCCAGCUGGUGGGGAUGCUGCGUGGCAUUGGCUCGGGGAUGAAGUACCUGUCUGACAUGAGCUACGUGCACCGCGACCUCGCUGCUCGCAACAUCCUGGUCAACAGCAACCUGGUCUGCAAAGUCUCUGACUUCGGCAUGUCCCGCGUGCUGGAGGAUGACCCUGAGGCAGCUUACACCACACGGGGGGGCAAGAUCCCCAUCAGGUGGACAGCGCCCGAGGCCAUCGCCUACCGCAAGUUCACCUCGGCCAGCGACGUCUGGAGCUACGGCAUCGUCAUGUGGGAGGUGAUGUCCUACGGGGAGAGGCCCUACUGGGACAUGUCCAACCAAGAUGUGAUCAAGGCCAUCGAGGAGGGGUACCGGCUGCCCCCGCCCAUGGACUGCCCCAUCGCGCUGCACCAGCUGAUGCUGGACUGCUGGCAGAAGGAGCGCAGCGACCGGCCCAAGUUUGGCCAGAUCGUCAACAUGCUGGACAAGCUCAUCCGCAACCCCAACAGCCUCAAGAGGACAGGCAGCGAGAGCUCCAGACCUAGCACAGCCCUGCUGGAUCCCAGCUCCCCCGAGUUCUCGGCGGUUGUUUCUGUCAGUGACUGGCUCCAAGCCAUGAAAAUGGAGCGAUACAAGGAUAACUUCACAGCUGCUGGCUAUACCACCCUAGAGGCUGUGGUGCAUAUGAACCAGGAGGACCUGGCCAGGAUUGGGAUCACGGCCCUGGCGCACCAGAACAAGAUCCUGAGCAGCGUCCAAGCGAUGCGCACCCAAAUGCAACAGAUGCACGGCAGGAUGGUUCCCGUCUGAGCCAGCACUGAAUAAACUCAAAACUCUUGAAAUUAGUUUACCUCAUCCAUGCACUUUAAUUGAAGAACUGCACUUUUUUUACUUCGUCUCCUCGCCCGUGGAAAUCAAGAUCUGCAGCGUUGCUUGAUGUACAGAUUGCGGAAGCAGAGCGUGUGUUGGGAGGGGGCCUCCAGAUAUGACGAGCCGUCCUUUGAAACCAGACCUGGAACAAAUGGUUUCUUGGAACAUGCUUCUCUGUUGAUCAAUGAUAUGUAAAAUACAUGUAUCUAUAUAAAUAUAAAGUCACAUUCAAGUUUUGAUGCUAUGUUUGCUGCCAGAUACUGUGCUUAAAAAACAACAGCAUUACUUUCCUUCUCCCUGUGACCUGUAGGAUUACAACCAUAGUGUUUUAUUUGUGGGUGAAACCACCAUUGUGUAUCUUUCACUGGAAUGAAGAAUCUGCCCUAGGAUAUUCUUUGCAGACUUGAUGCAUCACUAACACCUUGCAAAAACCUCAGUGAGAAUAUCAUGUGGCUGAUCAGUGCCUGCCAAUUAGUGAUCUACCCGUUUAUGGGCUUGAGAUGUGAAGUGACCCACCUUGUGGAUUACUGGGCCAAACUGGACUUCUGGGGAGGUUCUUGGCUGUUGUGCCAUGCUGAAGCCUGCCAUUGAAAGACUUUUGUGACCAUCUUGCCAGUAGUCAGCUGUGACAAUCGUGGCUGUGGAGCUUUCAGACUUCUUUUCUCUUUCAAGAAACUUACUCCCUUUGCCUCACGGAAGGGAAAUGGAUUUUGCUUUCACAGCCUCAUAGCCCAUCCUGUUGAUCACAUUGACCCUGGAGGAACACAGAGCAGACAUGAAGCCUUCUGGACCCACAGUUGCGUCUUCCAUAGCACUGAUUCUGGAAAACACAUGCUGAACAGUCAUCAGUCCCUGAAGAGAGUGUGACUUUUACUUUCUCUUUUUUUUUCCUGGGCCACCCACUCCGUUGUUUUUCUCCACUGAGCGAUAACUGACUCGUUAAGACUCAGCACCCAGUUGUCACUUGAGGAAUGUACUGUGUCAAAGCCCUGCAGACUUCUGGAUUUUGUUUUUCCUCCUCUUCUGCUUUCUCUGCUUACCUUUGGUUUUAUUUAUAUAUUUUGUUGUUGUCUCUCCUCAUUCCUCUGGCUGUCACCGCUGCAUCCCGGACAAAUGAAGGUGACAGAGCACUACACAUCUUACCAUGGACGCCAGGCCAGGUGCCACAGCAAAGAACUCAGUUCCUGUGAGCUGCCUGUGUACAUUGCUGAAGUGACAUUUUACACUAAAGGUGCCAUUGCAGUGAUAUAAAUAUAUUUUUUUCCUUGAAUGGAUAAUGGAUUAUUAUCUCCUCCGAAAGGUGCGUACGUGUGCUUGUGUGCGUGUGUCGGCGUGCAAGUCACCUCCUGUGUAGAACUGCCUGUGAACGUGCCCCAAACACCUCUGUCCUGUGAGACCAGGCUGAUAGCUCAUGUCUGAAACGAUAACAAGAACACACACAUUAAGAAAGUGUUUAAAUUUCUGUAUCUGUAAGUGUAUUUUUUAGCUGCCACACUAACGUUGUUGAGUAGUUCAGCAGCCUGAAACAGGGGCAAUUUCAAGUUAGUUUUGGAGUAAUGGAUGCAGGAUCUAAAGGGUGCUAAAGGUUCUUGUUAAGUGUUUUUUAUUUGUACUAGUGCCCUGCUCAUGACCAAGAACAACCAGUUUCUCAGUGGCAAGGUGGUGGAGGCAACACCUGCAUCUCCAUCCACUGGCAAUCCUGAACUGAAUUCUUACGUAGCCUUUUUUAUCUUCAAAAAUAGGAUUUUAAAGACUUGUUGAAUGCUAGCAAAUAUAUGCAGUUCUUCCAUUCACAGAAGCACCUUGCUCUGUGUGCAACGUAAUAAUCAGAACACUUCCCUGGUUCCCAGCACAGAUAAGGAACAAAAAUGCAACAAGACCUGUAAAGUUAACAGUUAGCAGAGUUGUGCAGUGUGUCCUGUUCCUUGUGCAGUUGAAGGGCAGUUGAAGAGCAGCAGAAGACAGACACUCCGUGGCCCAGGGAGCGUGCUGGCACUGCCUAGGAGAGCUUGCAGUGUUUGGGGAAUUCACCCUGGUGUGCUGUGGGGCAGCUGGAGAGGAGCUGAGCCCCUGCACCCAGGGACACAGGGCCACCAGCAGCAGGCGGGGGACAGGUGGCCGUGCUGCCCACGUGGGCCAGGGGCUCUCAGGCACUUGUGGGGUAGCCUGGGCACUCAGCCCUGCCCAGAGCUGUGAGCUGGUGGCCUGAGGUUGCUCCUGUUCCCUCUUCCCCCCCUCGCUGACCCUCCGUGGUAAUUCCUGCUCUGAAGGAGCAGCAGCAGGGCUGGCAGGGGAGUGAGGGCAGCUGGGCAUGGUGGGCACCAGGAUGUGCCAGCUGUGCCUGGCAGAGGUGGCCACCACAGAGAGGCUGGGCCACCACAGGCUGCUCCAGACACUGCUGCCCUUGGGGACAGGCCAGCUUGUCCCCCACGAGUGUGUUCAAUUGUCCUGCUCGCACACCAAUGGUUGAUGUUUGUCCGGGUUUCUUGCUGUGCUAAUUUUGUGAUGGAUCUUAUGUAUUAAAAAUAUAUAUGUAUAAAAUACAAAAAAAAAAAAAAAAAAAAAGCUGGUAAGUAACCAGUAAACAGGACUUAAAAAGCAGUAUUUUUCUUUUAUGUGACAUUUUCAUAACCAGAAAAAAAAAUCUGAAAUACUAAUCAGACAAAUAAAAAGAGAGUGCAUUUAUUUUUUUGUAUCACUGCAAGUAUGUUGGAAUAUGCAAGGACUGUGUAAAUUAGAAUGUAUGAGGCAUAUUAUAAUUUAGUUCAUACUGAAAAAAUCUAACAGCAUUUCUUGGUUCGUGCAUUUGAACGAUCUCUGGGUUAGAUAUAUAGAUUUUUCUAUUUUGUUUUAAUUUGUAAUUUUUUUCUCCCUCCGUGAAUUUUAGGUACACAUAACUUAUGUCAUUUAUUUAUGGUCUUUUAUACCUAGUUUGUAAAAUUGUAAAAUAGCAAACAAUGCAAACAUUUGCAUUUGAAAAUAAUAAAGUAGUUGCUGUACAAACCUGAAA